rnacentral:misc_RNA from 1 species
UAUCCGCCACCAUUUUGUGCAAUCGUUUUGCCCUUCAGCGACCGUGUGUGUACUCAACGGUAGUUUAGUAAUCGAGUGUGAAUGAUGUGAAUUCGUCAUCGUUGCGGUUAUCGCGAUCGACCGCGUGUCGCGGAGUUGACGUGCUCGACGAAGCCGUGCGCAUCAACACGAAUUCACAGCCUCUCUUCCCUCUCUCUCGCUCGCUCACUAACGAGCUGCUAGUGCUCCAAUCUUUCUGCGCGCCUCUUGUACCUCGUCAUCUCGGCAGCCUGUGUGACUCAUAGCGAUAUUGUUACGUUUUGCGAGAUUUGCGAGAUGACAAUGUGCAACGUGUGAGACAACGCGAUUGCAGUUAGCUCGUAACGUAUCUCCAGGAAACGACUGGACAUCAGAGGACAGUAAUAAAAUUACAUAUAACAGUGAUCACUCGCAGGAGCAAUGAUGGAUGUAGAUCCACCAGAAUUUCUCUCAAAGGACGAUGAGAUUCAGUAUUGGAUGGAUCUAGCUCAUCGGCUGCAUCAAAGGAAAGACGAUGUUGAACGCGAAUUAGAAGAAUUCCAAGAAAAUUCACAGAUGUUGGAGAAAGAAUUGGAAACUUCUUUAGAGCAGGCAGAAAAGACAAACAGAGAACUGAGACAAAGAAAUACCAGGCUUGCCACAGAGGUUGAACAGUUGAGAACGCGAUUGGAUCAGCAGUCUGCAGAUUGUGCAAUGUUUCAAGGGAAAGCACAAGAUCUGCAGCAGCAGCAUGAGCAUUUACUAAAAUAUAUUAGAGAAAUUGAACAGAAAAAUGAUGAUUUAGAAAGAGCACACAGAAUAAAUAGGGUCACAGAAGAGGAAAUAGAAGCUAAAUUUAAUUUAGCUAUAGAAAAGAAUGCCUUGCUCGAGUCGGAACUUGAUGAGAAGGAAAGCCUAAAAACUAUAGUGCAAAGAUUAAUGGACGAGGUUAGAGACUUAAAGCAGGAAAUACAAGUACAUGAAAGGCAUCAUGCGGAUAAUAACAAAUCUGCCGACAGAGUUCGUAACAAUAUCGUCGAUAGUAACAAGCUACAGGCCGAAUUGGAAUCGAAUUCACCCGCUAGCCAAAUAGUCUCACAAACCGUACCUCCGAAUAAUACGACGACUUCGCCGAUAAAAAUUGGACAUGGAAUGGUAGGGGGUGUUAUUGGAAACAAUAAUAAUGUGAGCCAACCAUUACCGCCUUGCACGAGAAUACUAGCAAUGAAUAUGAUUGGCGACCUCAUGCGAAAAGUCGGGCUUGAUAGGUGGGUCUGCAUGGGCUGUAGGAAAAUAAAAUGCGUUUGCACAAACGAACAAAUAUCGAGUACCACUCCGUCUACUGGGUUAUCAGCAGCCCAAACUCACGCAUCUACUCAGUGUAUAAGGCAACAACCUAAACCGCGUGCAGAUCUUCGUCGUGAUCUCUCAUCGUUAGAUAAUCUUGCAACUCCUUAAAAUGCAUUGGAAAACAAACUGAACACAUGUAGAAACGCGUUCCGAGAAGAUCAAGCAGUUCGCGACCUCUACAGGGCUAGACGACAAGUCAGAAGCCCAGCCUCAGGAAA